GAGUUUGAUCGUGGCUCAGAUUGAAUGCUGGCGGCAUGCCUUACACAUGCAAAUCGAACGGCGGCAUGAUCUAGCUUGCUAGAUUGAUGGCGAGUGGCGAACGGGUGAGUAAUACAUCGGAACGUGCCCUGUAGUGGGGGAUAACUAGUCGAAAGAUUAGCUAAUACCGCAUACGACCUGAGGGUGAAAGUGGGGGACCGCAAGGCCUCAUGCUAUAGGAGCGGCCGAUGUCUGAUUAGCUAGUUGGUGGGGUAAAGGCCCGACCAAGGCGACGAUCAGUAGCUGGUCUGAGAGGACGAUCAGCCACACUGGGACUGAGACACGGCCCAGACUCCUACGGGAGGCAGCAGUGGGGAAUUUUGGACAAUGGGCGAAAGCCUGAUCCAGCAAUGCCGCGUGUGUGAAGAAGGCCUCGGUUGUAAG
rnacentral:rRNA from 1 species